rnacentral:rRNA from 1 species
GACAGAGGUGCCAAGCGUUAGGCGGAAUCACUGGGCUUAAAGCGUGUGUAGGCGGGUGCCUAAGUACCUUGUGAAAUCCCACGGCUCAACCGUGGAACUGCUCGGUAUACUGGGUGCCUUGAGCCACUUAGGGGCUACCGGAACAAAUGGUGGAGCGGUGAAAUGCGUAGAUAUCAUUUGGAACGCCAAUGGUGAAAACAGGUAGCUGGGAGUGUCCUGACGCUGAGGCACGAAGGUCAGGGGAGCAAACGGG